GACGAACGCUGGCGGCAUGCCUAAUACAUGCAAGUCGAGCGAACAGAUGAAGUGCUUGCACUUCUGACGUUAGCGGCGAACGGGUGAGUAACACGUAAGGAAUCUACCUAUAAGCGGGGGAUAACAUUCGGAAACGGGUGCUAAUACCGCAUAAUAUCUUCUUCCGCAUGGAAGAAGAUUGAAAGACGGCUCUGCUGUCACUUAUAGAUGACCUUGCGGUGCAUUAGUUAGUUGGUGGGGUAACGGCCUACCAAGACGAUGAUGCAUAGCCGACCUGAGAGGGUGAUCGGCCACAUUGGGACGGGGACACGGCCCAAACUCCUACGGGAGGCAGCAGUAGGGAAUCGUCCGCAAUGGGCGAAAGCCUGACGGAGCAAUGCCGCGUGAGUGAAGAAGGCCUUCGGGUCGUAAAACUCUGUUAUAAGAGAAGAACAAAUUGUAGAGUAACUGCUACAGUCUUGACGGUAUCUUAUCAGAAAGCCACGGCUAACUACGUGCCAGCCGCCGCCGUAA
rnacentral:rRNA from 1 species